rnacentral:rRNA from 1 species
UACGGGAGGCAGCAGUGGGGAAUAUUGCACAAUGGGCGAAAGCCUGAUGCAGCGACGCCGCGUGAGGGAUGACGGCCUUCGGGUUGUAAACCUCUUUCGCUCAUGGUCAAGCCACAGCUUUGGGUUGUGGUGAGGGUAGUGGGUAAAGAAGCGCCGGCUAACUACGUGCCAGCAGCCGCGGUAAUAUGUAGGGCGCGAGCGUUGUCCGGAAUUAUUGGGCGUAAAGGGCUUGUAGGCGGUUGGUCGCGUCUGCCGUGAAAUCCUCUGGCUUAACUGGGGGCGUGCGGUGGGUACGGGCUGACUUGAGUGCGGUAGGGGAGACUGGAACUCCUGGUGUAGCGGUGGAAUGCGCAGAUAUCAGGAGACACCGGUGGCGAAGGCGGGUCUCGUGGGCCGUUACUGACGCUGAGGAGCGAAAGCGUGGGGAGCGAA